rnacentral:rRNA from 1 species
ACCGGCGCACGGGUGCGUAACACGUAUACAAUCUACCUAAAACAGGGGGAUAGCCUUUCGAAAGAGAGAUUAAUACCCCGUAAUAUAUUUGAUGGCAUCAUUGAAUAUUGAAAGCUCCGGCGGUUUUAGAUGAGUAUGCGCCUGAUUAGCUAGUUGGUGAGGUAACGGCUCACCAAGGCGACGAUCAGUAGGGGAUCUGAGAGGACUAACCCCCACACUGGUACUGAGACACGGACCAGACUCCUACGGGAGGCAGCAGUAAGGAAUAUUGGUCAAUGGAGGCAACUCUGAACCAGCCAUGCCGCGUGCAGGAAGAAGGCCCUAUGGGUCGUAAACUGCUUUUGUACCAGAGAAAACCCGAGUACGUGUACUCGGUUGAUAGUAUGGUAAGAAUAAGCAUCGGCUAACUUCGUGCCAGCAGCCGCGGUAAGACGAAGGAUGCAAGCGUUAUCCGGAUUCAUUGGGUUUAAAGGGUGCGUAGGCGGACUUGUAAGUCAGUGGUGAAAUCUCUCAGCUUAACUGAGAAACUGCCAUUGAUACUGCAGGUCUAGAGUAUAGAUGACGUUGGCGGAAUAUGACAUGUAGUGGUGAAAUACUUAGAUAUGUCAUAGAACACCGAUUGCGAAGGCAGCUAACGAAACUAUAACUGACGCUGAGGCACGAAAGUGCGGGGAUCAAACAGGAUUAGAUACCCUGGUAGUCCGCACCGUAAACGAUGAUUACUCGU